GACGUAGGUGGCAAGCGUUACUCGGAAUUACUAGGCGUAAAGGGCGCGUAGGCGGAGGUUUAAGUCUGUUGUGCAAUCUCUGGGCUCAACCCAGAAACUGCAACAGAAACUGGAUUUCUUGAGUGAGGUAGAGAGAAACGGAAUUCCUGGUGUAGCAGUGAAAUGCGUAGAUAUCAGGAGGAACACCGGUGGCGAAGGCGGUUUCUUGGACCUUUACUGACGCUGAAGCACGAAAGCUAGGGGAG
rnacentral:rRNA from 1 species